rnacentral:rRNA from 1 species
CGUAGGGUGCGAGCGUUAAUCGGAAUUACUGGGCGUAAAGCGUGCGCAGGCGGUUUUGUAAGACGGGCGUGAAAUCCCCGGGCUCAAUCUGGGAACUGCGCUUGUGACUGCAAGGCUAGAGUACGGCAGAGGGGGGUGGAAUUCCACGUGUAGCAGUGAAAUGCGUAGAGAUGUGGAGGAACACCAAUGGCGAAGGCAGCCCCCUGGGUCGAUACUGACGCUCAUGCACGAAAGCGUGGGUAGCAAACAGGAUUAGAUACCCUGGUAGUCCACGCCCUAAACGAUGUCAACUAGGUGUUGGGUGGGUAAAACCAUUUAGUACCGGAGCUAACGCGUGAAGUUGACCGCCUGGGGAGUACGGCCGCAAGGUUAA